AUAGGAGGAUCUCAUUGAGAAGAUAUCAUUUGAGCAAAGAUGUAAAGCAAGGGAGGGAAUGAGUCAGUGGCUACAUAGCGAGAGUGUCCUAGGCAGAGGAAACAGCUUCUACAAAAGCCCUGAAGCAAGAGAAUGUUUGAAGUGUUCAAGAAUAAACAGGAGAUGCAGAAUGAAUGGAAUUGAGAGUGAGUGAGGCAGUCGGAUACAAGAGAGACUAAUAUGGGGCAGCACUGAAGACUGCUGACAGCAGCCACAUGAGUGAGCUCAGAGUG
rnacentral:lncRNA from 1 species